GCGAAGGUGGCGGAAUUGGUAGACGCGCUAGCUUCUUGGUAGCGCAACUGGUUUGGGACCAGUGGGUCGGAGGUUCGAAUCCUCUCUCGCC
rnacentral:tRNA from 1 species